rnacentral:rRNA from 1 species
CGGAAUGCUUUACACAUGCAAGUCGAACGGCAGCACGGGGGCAACCCUGGUGGCGAGUGGCGAACGGGUGAGUAAUAUAUCGGAACGUGCCCAGUCGUGGGGGAUAACGUAGCGAAAGUUACGCUAAUACCGCAUACGAUCUACGGAUGAAAGCGGGGGAUCGCAAGACCUCGCGCGAUUGGAGCGGCCGAUAUCAGAUUAGGUAGUUGGUGGGGUAAAGGCUCACCAAGCCAACGAUCUGUAGCUGGUCUGAGAGGACGACCAGCCACACUGGGACUGAGACACGGCCCAGACUCCUACGGGAGGCAGCAGUGGGGAAUUUUGGACAAUGGACGCAAGUCUGAUCCAGCCAUUCCGCGUGCAGGACGAAGGCCUUCGGGUUGUAAACUGCUUUUGUACGGAACGAAAAAGCUCUUACUAAUACUAGGAGUCCAUGACGGUACCGUAAGAAUAAGCACCGGCUAACUACGUGCCAGCAGCCGCGGUAAUACGUAGGGUGCGAGCGUUAAUCGGAAUUACUGGGCGUAAAGCGUGCGCAGGCGGUUAUAUAAGACAGAUGUGAAAUCCCCGGGCUCAACCUGGGAACUGCAUUUGUGACUGUAUAGCUAGAGUGCGGCAGAGGGGGAUGGAAUUCCGCGUGUAGCAGUGAAAUGCGUAGAUAUGCGGAGGAACACCGAUGGCGAAGGC